UCUCUUUUUAUGCCAGGGUGAGAUUGUCCUCCUGGCUGUGAACAGAUCUUAACAAAUUGAAAAGCAGAGAGAAAAAGGAAUAUUGUCUUACUGAAUGGAAAAAUACAGGUGUAUAGAGAAGAUCUCUGGUGGAUCCAAGUGCAGUUAAGAUUACUUGCUCCAGAUGACAGAGCGAUCAAGUCCAAUCCUGUGGGUCUGUAGGCACUAAAACGUCUUGACCUUUCAUGUGGAACAAUUAAAUGGCAUUUUAUGUAAGUGAGACAUCUGUUGUUCAAGCUGAGACUCCUCUGCAUGAAGGCUGCAGUAAUCAAUACAGAUGAAGCAUGUUUAGCCAACCAAAGAUUAACUUUAUUUGUCUUUUUACUAACAUUUGAUUGGAGUUGUUAAACUUCUACUGUUGCAUGUGAAACAUUAAACAGCUACCUUUAGAUAAA